AACGAACGCUGGCGGCAUGCCUAACACAUGCAAGUCGAACGAUUGCCUUCGGGUGAUAGUGGCGCACGGGUGCGUAACGCGUGGGAAUCUGCCCUUAGGUUCGGAAUAACAGCUGGAAACGGCUGCUAAUACCGGAUGAUAUCGCGAGAUCAAAGAUUUAUCGCCUGAGGAUGAGCCCGCGUUGGAUUAGGUAGUUGGUGGGUUAAAGGCCUACCAAGCCGACGAUCCAUAGCUGGCCUGAGAGGAUGAUCAGCCACACUGGGACUGAGACACGGCCCAGACUCCUACGGGAGGCAGCAGUGGGGAAUAUUGGACAAUGGGCGCAAGCCUGAUCCAGCAAUGCCGCGUGAGUGAUGAAGGCCCUAGGGUUGUAAAGCUCUUUUACCCGGGAAGAUAAUGACUGUACCGGGAGAAUAAGCCCCGGCUAACUCCGUG
rnacentral:rRNA from 1 species